GCUGCUCUCUGUGCUUCACAGGCUUUUUCCUAGAAGGGCCCUAAACUUUUCAGAAAUUCAUAUUCCAAAGAGGUCAGAAUUCCAAUCAUUUAAAUAGAAGAUGCACAUUAAGUGGACACAGUUCAGACCCAGAGAAGCCAUUUCAUCUUAACCUGGAUAAUCGCCACUAGAAUGUCGUGCUGGAAAAUAAUUACAUCACAGUGUGUGAUCACUUAAAGGGAGAUUAUAAAAAUUUUGAAAAGAAGCUCUUCAAGGAAAAAAUGUUAGGGCCAUUUCAAAUAAUUUAUCACAUUAAA